rnacentral:tRNA from 1 species
GAGGGUGUAGCUCAGUGGUAGAGUGCAUGUUUAGCAUGCACAAGGUCCUGGGUUCAAUCCCCAGUACCUCCA